CAGCCGCCGCGGUAAUUCGGAGGAUCCAAGCGUUAUCCGGAAUCAUUGGGUUUAAAGGGUCCGUAGACGGUUUAAUAAGUCAGUGGUGAAAGCCCAUCGCUCAACGGUGGAACGGCCAUUGAUACUGUUAAACUUGAAUUAUUGGGAAGUAACUAGAAUAUGUAGUGUAGCGGUGAAAUGCUUAGAGAUUACAUGGAAUACCAAUUUCGAAGGCAGGUUACUACUAAUGGAUUGACGCUGAUGGACUAAAGCGUGGGUAGCGAACAGGAUUAGAUACCCUGGUAGUCCACGCCGUAAACGAUGGAUACUAGCUUUUGGGAGCAAUCUCAGUGGCUAAGCGAAAGUGAUAAGUAUCCCACCUGGGGAGUACGUUCGCAAGAAUGAAACUUAAAGGAAUU
rnacentral:rRNA from 1 species